GAUGAACGCUGGCGGCGUGCCUAACACAUGCAAGACGAGCGAACCCUUCGGGGUGAGCGGCGGACGGGUGAGUAACGCGUGGGUAACCUGCCCUGUACACACGGAUAACAUACCGAAAGGUAUGCUAAUACGAGAUAAUAUAUUUUAAUCGCAUGGUUAAGAUAUCAAAGCUCCGGCGGUACAGGAUGGACCCGCGUCUGAUUAGCUAGUUGGUGAGGUAAUGGCUCAACAAGGCGACGAUCAGUAGCCGACCUGAGAGGGUGAUCGGCCACACGGCAACUGAGACACGGUGCAGACUCCGACGGGAAGCAGCAGUGGGAAUAUUGCACAAGGGGAGAAAGCCUGAUGCGGCAACGCCGCGUGAGCGAUGAAGGCCUUCGGGUCGUAAAGCUCUGUCCUCAAGGAAGGUAAUGACGGUACUUGAGGAGGAAGCCCCGGCUAACUACGUGCCAGCCGCCGCCGUAA
rnacentral:rRNA from 1 species